AUACGGAGGGGGUUAGCGUUGUUCGGAAUUACUGGGCGUAAAGCGCACGUAGGCGGACUGGAAAGUUGGGGGUGAAAUCCCGGGGCUCAACCCCGGAACUGCCUCCAAAACUUCCAAUCUAGAGAUCGAGAGAGGUGAGUGGAAUUCCAAGUGUAGAGGUGAAAUUCGUAGAUAUUUGGAGGAACACCAGUGGCGAAGGCGGCUCACUGGCUCGAUACUGACGCUGAGGUGCGAAAGCGUGGGGAGCAAACAGGAUUAGAAACCCGAGUAGUCC
rnacentral:rRNA from 1 species